GAUGAACGCUAGCGGCAGGCUUAAUACAUGCAAGUCGUGGGGCAGCAGGUUUGUAGCAAUACAGAUGCUGGCGACCGGCAAACGGGUGCGGAACACGUACAGAACCUUCCUUUGAGCGGGGAAUAGCCCAGAGAAAUUUGGAUUAAUACUCCAUAGUAUAAUGAAGUGGCAUCACUUUAUUAUUAAAGAUUUAUCACUCGAAGAUGGCUGUGCGGCUGAUUAGGUAGUUGGCGGGGUAAAGGCCCACCAAGCCUGCGAUCAGUAACUGGUGUGAGAGCACGACCAGUCACACGGGCACUGAGACACGGGCCCGACUCCUACGGGAGGCAGCAGUAAGGAAUAUUGGUCAAUGGAGGCAACUCUGAACCAGCCAUGCCGCGUGGAGGAUGAAGGUCCUCUGGAUUGUAAACUUCUUUUAUAUGGGCGAAAAAAGGCUUUUCUAAGUCGUCUGACGGUACCAUAUGAAUAAGCACCGGCUAACUCCGUGCCAGCA
rnacentral:rRNA from 1 species